rnacentral:tRNA from 1 species
GGCAGGGUGGUUCAGUGGUAGAAUUCUUGCCUUCCACGCGGGAGAUCCAGGUUCAAUUUCUGGCCAGUGUCU